rnacentral:rRNA from 1 species
GGGUUAAGUCCCGCAACGAGCGCACCCYUAUUGUUAGUUGCCAGCAUUCAGUKGGGCACUCUAAUGAGACUGCCGGUGACAAACCGGAGGAAGGKUGGGGAUGACGUCAAAUCAUCAUGCCCCUUAUGACCUGGGCUACACACGUGCUACAAUGGAUGGUACAACGAGCAGCAAGACCGCGAGGUCAAGCGAAUCUCUUAAAGCCAUUCUCAGUUCGGAUUGCAGGCUGCAACUCGCCUGCAUGAAGCCCGGAAUCGCUAGUAAUCGCGGGAUCAGCACGCCGCGGUGAAUACGUUCCCGGGUCUUGUACACACCGCCCGUCACACCACGAGAGUUUGUAACACCCGAAGUCGGUGAGGUAACCUUUUUGGAGCCAGCCGCCUAAGGUGGGACAGAUGAUUGGGGUGAAGUCGUAACAAGGUAACC